rnacentral:rRNA from 1 species
UGGAUGGAGAGUUUGAUCCUGGCUCAGAACGAACGCUGGCGGCGUGCUUAACACAUGCAAGUCAAGGGGAAAGUUCCUUCGGGAAUGAGUACACUGGCGCACGGGUGAGUAACGCGUGAGGAAUCUACCUUUAAGUUUGGGACAACAUUCCGAAAGGGAUGCUAAUACCGGAUAAUACUACAAUUCGCAUGUUUUGUAGGGAAAGGCGGGGUAACCUGUCGCUUUUAGAUGAUCUCGCGUAUCAUUAGAUAGUUGGUGAGGUAACGGCUCACCAAGUCUACGAUGAUUAGCCGGCCUGAGAGGGUGGCCGGCCACAUAGGGACUGANACAUAGGGACUGAGACACGGCCCUAACUCCUACGGGAGGCAGCAGUGGGGAAUUUUGCGCAAUGACCGAAAGGUUGACGCAGCGACGCCGCGUGUAUGAUGAAGGUUUUCGGAUCGUAAAGUACUUUCAGCAGGGAAGAAAUAUUUUUAUAGUAACUGAUAGAAGUUUGACGGUACCUGCAGAAGCAGCCCCGGCUAACUCCGUGCCAGCAGCCGCGGUAAUACGGAGGGGGCAAGCGUUGUUCGGAGUCACUGGGCGUAAAGCGCACGUAGGUGGAUUAUCAAGUCAGGAGUUAAAGGCAACGGCUCAACCGUUGUAAGGCUUUUGAAACUGAUAGUCUAGAGUAUCAGAGAGGAAUGCGGAAUUUCCGGUGUAGCGGUGAAAUGCGUAGAUAUCGGAAGGAACACCAGUUGCGAAGGCGGCAUUCUGGCUGAUUACUGACACUGAGGUGCGAGAGCAUGGGUAGCAAACAGGAUUAGAUACCCUGGUAGUCCAUGCUGUAAACGAUGGAUGCUAGGUGUUGGGGUGUAUAAGCCUCAGUGCCGAAGCUAACGCAUUAAGCAUCCCGCCUGGGGAGUACGACCGCAAGGUUGAAACUCAAAGGAAUUGACGGGGGCCCGCACAAGCGGUGGAGCACGUGGUUUAAUUCGAUGCUAACCGUAGAACCUUACCUGGGCUUGACAUCCGUAG